rnacentral:pre_miRNA from 1 species
AAUAAGUGCAGUUUUGCACUAUUUAUGUUCAACGUUUGACCGUCCGUCUUAUUUGAAAAAUUUUUAUGAUUAGUAUUUUUAUUGCUAUUAGAUGAUAAAACAUGAAUAAUACUUUAUGUGUGACUAAAUGUUUUUAAUUUUUUCACAAAUUUUUCAAAUAAAACGGACGGUCAAACGUUGAACAUAAAUAGUGCAAAACUGCACUUAUU